rnacentral:tRNA from 15 species
GAUAGCUCAAGGGUAGAGCGUAGGACUGUAGUAUAGAAAAAUCCUUUGGUUGUUGGUUCGAAUCCAGCUC